ensembl:snoRNA SNORD115 Small nucleolar RNA SNORD115
GGGUCAAUGAUGACAACCUUCCUGUCGCAAAGAGAGGUAAUGACAUAAAAUCAUGCUCAACAGGAUUACACUGAGACCC